UACAGAGGUCCCAAGCGUUGUUCGGAUUCAUUGGGCGUACAGGGUGCGUAGGUGGCGAGGUAAGUUGGAUGUGCAAUCUCGGGGCUCAACCCCGAAACUGCAUUCAAUACUGCUUUGCUAGAGUACUGGAGAGGAGAUUGGAAUUUACGGUGUAGCAGUGAAAUGCGUAGAUAUCGUAAGGAAGACCAGUGGCGAAGGCGGAUCUCUGGACAGUUACUGACACUGAGGCACGAAGGCCAGGGGAGCAAACGGG
rnacentral:rRNA from 1 species